rnacentral:lncRNA from 1 species
AAGAUCGUGUCCGCUCUAUAUCUUGAGAACCGUUAUCAUUUCAAAGUUUAUACUUGACAUGUUUAUAAACCAACACCAAAGGGUGUGUCAUAAUUUAUUUACAACAUCCUAGGUCAAAGGUCAAGGUCAAAAACUUUGAUUUCAGUUGACAAACCCAUGUCCUAUGGUAAAGAUACAAUUUAUUAAUGCACAUUAUUCACAGCGGGGCCCACAGAGAUGGCUCCCAUCUCAAUGAUAUCUGGUUGCCUCAAAUUGCAAGUAUGGGGGUGAAAUUACACUGUAAAAAAAUUUGGGUCCAGAAUUUUAAAGGAAAGUAGUGAUUUGGUCCAGCUGAAAAAGGUUGAAAAUUAGCACUUCGGAAGCUGUCAAAAGAUUUCAAGACGCCCUAAACAUAAAAUUGUCCAUAUUUUGAGUUAGAGCCGAUGAAGUUUUCUAUAAUUUUGAUAUAAUUUGUCCCAAAAGUAGUACAACACACUGUAAAAAUUUCUUUGAGAAAGCGCAGGUGGGAUUUUUUUUAUUUUCAUUUAUGUUCUAAAAGAAAUGCACUACGAAAUAAUUGUGUUCUCGGACCUGGUGCAAAUAUGUAAAUUACUUGGAUCAUUAUUGACUUGUAGAAAAAUACAAUUUACGGAAUUUGAAAAUCUUGUUUUUUUUUUAUUCAUUAAUAAUAUUUUUUGCAAUUAUUUGCCC